rnacentral:rRNA from 1 species
AGUGAACGCUGGCGGUAGGCCUAACACAUGCAAGUCGAACGGCAGCACAGUAAGAGCUUGCUCUUACGGGUGGCGAGUGGCGGACGGGUGAGGAAUACAUCGGAAUCUACUUUUUCGUGGGGGAUAACGUAGGGCCACUUCCGCUAAUACCGCAUACGACCUACGGGUGAAAGCAGGGGAUCUUCGGACCUUGCGCGAUUGAAUUAGCCGAUGUCGGAUUAGCUAGUUGGCGGGGUAAAGGCCCACCAAGGCGACGAUCCGUAGCUGGUCUGAGAGGAUGAUCAGCCACACUGGAACUGAGACACGGUCCAGACUCCUACGGGAGGCAGCAGUGGGGAAUAUUGGACAAUGGGCGCAAGCCUGAUCCAGCCAUACCGCGUGGGUGAAGAAGGCCUUCGGGUUGUAAAGCCCUUUUGUUGGGAAAGAAAAGAAGCAGGUUAAUACCCCGCUGUUCUGACGGUACCCAAAGAAUAAGCACCGGCUAACUUCGUG